UGGUGGAGUGAUUUGUCUGGUUAAUUCCGUUAACGAACGAGACCCCCGCCUGCUAAAUAGCUGGCGUCCCGGGCCUCCCGGGGCGACCAGCUUCUUAGAGGGACACUGGGCGACUAGCCCAGGGAAGUUGGGGGCAAUAACA
rnacentral:rRNA from 1 species